AUUAUUUGUGGCGCAUAGAUACAGUAGCUAUUUCAGUUUUGAAAUCAGAACAUCAUUAAUCUUAUGUACUACAUGAUAUGCGGUAAAAAAAUCUUGCUUGUCAUUAAAAAUGCUAAGUAAGGACGUAAGCUAUAGGCCUAAAGGUUACCGGUUGUGUAAAGUAGUCUCGUCUUUUAAACAUGUUCCUUCGAUGCAUAAUAUCGAUCGCUAUAUUCUUAUCCGCUCAGUGCAAGGACAAGCAUAGUUGACUGGAACGAGUCCCCUACUGUUUUCAUGUGUCUUCAAAGACGCUGGAAAUGCAGUAAUUUAUAAGAUAUACUUCAAAGUCUUAGGAAGACAAGGAGGAAGUUGCCCAGAAAGUGCGGGUUCCAUUAAGGCUGGGAGCAGAGCAAAUAUACUAAAAUACUUAGGCACUGACGUUGGUUGGAAACGGGAGAUAGGACAGAGAAGUGAUGUGCCAUCAGCGGAUGUUUGCCCUCCUCUCCGAC